GAGAAUAGAUGAUGAAAAAAAAACUUAAUUGAACGGUUUAAAAGAGGAGAAAACAGGAAAAAAAAGAAAAUUAAAUUUUGAAACAUAGUUUAGCUUCAAUUUCAAAUCUUUAAAAUUCAAUAUUCAACAGAAAAAAAUGAAGAGAAAAACUAGCUAAUUCGAAUCUUUUUGAAAAAAUUAAAAUAAUUUAUGGAACAUCAUCAGUAAUUUUUCCUGAUUAAAAGAAAUUUUAGAAUUUUGAUGACAUGUUUUAAAUAGGUUAAAAUAAGUCGGCUCUUACCGUAGACAUGAGCGGAUAGCUUGCGUCGUUCCUCGUGCACCUGUAAGAGGCAGCUGUGACAUCCUCCGACCGGCCUCCCCUGAACGUGGGAUGCUUCCACAGUGUAGGAGGGGGGAAAAAAGCUCAGCCUGGCCCCAAUGGCUGCCUUCGCUUCGCCUUGUCGAGAAACGUGGUUUCCCUCAGAGACACUGGCGGUCACCACACCGGUGGCCACACCCUUCCGACUCUCAGUCCUUCACUCUAACUUUCCUCAUCCACGAAUCUUUCAUCCUCGCUCAAAUUAAUGGGGAAAUCGUCGCUUUCUCGGUCCGAAUCGUUCUCGCUGCUGGUGGCCAUGAUUGUAAACAAUGUAAGGAUGUGAGGAGCUCCACAACCCGUGACGUCACGGGCACAUCGUCUGCUACUUCCGGUACAGGUAAGGCUUUUUUAUUAGUGACCAAAAGUUGUGAUAUAUAGCUUGGUCCAAUUUGUUAUAUAUUCUAACAAAGACAAAUCAUUAUUUCUUCUAGAUUUCCAGAACAAAAAUUUUAAAAUAAAUUCAAAAGACUUUGGAAUAAGAUUUAAAUUUAAAUCUACAGAUUUUCUAGAUUUGCCAGAAUAAUUUUGAAUUUUAAUCGUAAUAGGUUUGAAGAAAUAUUUCACAAAUAUACUUCGUCGAAAAAACAGAAGCUAAAAUGAAAAAUUAAAUUAAAAUGUAUUAUUCUUUACAAUAAAAAAGAAAAUACUUGAACAUUGAUUUAAAUUGUCAGGAAAGAAGAGGAAGGAAUUUAAAAGGUAAAAAAGGUAUAUGUGUUUAAAAAUCCGAAAAUCAUAUUUAAGGUAUUGUUUCUCUAAAAUUGUCUUUCUGAAAGUUUUAAGAAGCAAAGUCAAAAAAUAAAUGAAUUUAUUCAAACAAGUGAAGACCAAGUCUUUAAAAUAUUUUCUUGGAUAUUCAAAUUCUAUGAGUUUUGUCUCUCUCAGAAUCAAAAAUGUCGAGCAAAGCGAGACCAGCUCGCUAGUAAAUAAAUAACAUGUAAAAAAUAGAGGCAGCUCACUGGUAAGUGCUGCCAUUUGAGCUAUUUUUAGAACAGGCCGCGGGCACCACGUUGGUGACCCCUGACGUAGAGAAACAUGUUCGCUUGACUGCUCUGUGUUAAAGCUUCACAACAAACAAACACCGGCUGUGUUUCGGUUGCUAAAGACAGCUGCAAUCCACCGCUUUCCCCCAACAGCAUUGUUCUUUUAUUGUCUCCAUUAAUAAUUGAACAAAUUGCAAAAGAUUCAUCAACACAGUUGUCCAAAAUCCUGUGUAAUUAUGCGAUGAAAAGUGACGACUUUUAGCCGUGUGUGGUGCUGGGCUGAUAUGUCCGCUACAACCCGCACGUCAUCAUUCUGCUACGUUUUCAACAGGAAACUCCGCAGGGAAAUUUAAAAUUGCAUUUUAGUAUAAACUAAAAAGGACGUAUUGGCAUGUGUUGCAAUGUUGAUAUUUCAUCAUUGAUAUAUAAACUAUAAGACUGUGUGGUGGGUAGUAGUGGGUUUAAGAUGUGCAUUUGUAGCUCUAAAUUGUACAUGUGCUCUACUUUUAAAUGCACAUUCAUUUGUGCAUGUGUACGCCCUCUAUAUCAGUGAUUCUUAACCUUGUUGGAGGUACCGAACCCUACCAGUUUCUUUUGCGUAUUCACCGAACCCUUCUUUAGUGAAAAAUAAAAUGUUUUUUUUUUUUUUUUUAAAUUCAAGACAAAGUUAUGUUUUUUAACUGUUGCACAAAAUGAAUCGUGGAUGAACAUCACCUUGUUCAAACCACAGCAUGAACUCACAACAAAUUAGACACCUGCAAAUCAGGGUGACUUCUGCGGUUGCCGUAUACAGUUGUGAUCAAAAUUAUUCAA